rnacentral:lncRNA from 1 species
UAGAAUCCCAAGAGUGCAAUGUGUGAGAAUCAUCAAACUUAUGCCUCAAUGAACAAGACCGAACAAGUUGUAGCAUUCACUAGAGGCUUAGGGAGGAAACUAAGACCUAUUUAUCUUUUAACUUCUGAAUCUUCUUGGGGUCUGUCUCAUUCAUGUGUUUCUUAAAUUGCUGCCUCACCAUGCCAAGCACAAGCUCAGUGUUUUGUUGCUGCAAGGCAUAAACGAGUUAACAGAAAAAAAAAAGAAAAGUUCAUAUCCCAAGCCAACUCUAGGCAGAAAAGCCAAAUCUUUCUAACUGAAUCAAAAUAGAAGUGAUGAUAUAAUAUCAAUCUCAAACUCUUACGGCUGCAUGAUAUCGAUACAAAUGCUCCAAAGAAAAGCUCUCAAUAUUUUGCUUUAUGCUAUCUUUGUACAGAAAAUCGAUUAUCAAGAUUGGAGAAAAAGAAAAGAUGGGAAUGAAGAAGGCAGCGGAACUGGAUUUAAAAGACCAAUGAAAGUAUUCAAACCAAGUAGACGGAGACGGAGAGAGACAUACAAAAAGAUCAAAUCUCUACUGGCGAGAUGACCUGAGCUUGAGAUAGACGGAGUCAGGGAGAGAAACAGGGCAUUCAACAGUGAGAGCUUCGGAUUUUCAGAUUUCAAACUCAGUUCAGGUCAAACAUAAACGGGCCGAAGUCAUUGUUUGUGUUACCAACGGUUCAUUCAGUUCCAUUCCAAUUCCCGCCUACAUCAUAAAUAUCAACCGUUAAACUUAUCUCGCCUCCCAUUCUCAUUUUUUGUUGAAUGAAAGAAUAUUUAAAAGUAACAAAUAUUUUUAUAAAAUAUUUUUUUAUCAAUAAAUCAUUUGUAAAAAAAAAUAUUUCUUACCUUUUCUAAAUAUGACUUCACAACCGUCACCUCAAGAAAGCGUCUAGACAAGACUAAUGCAUCUUUCCUUUAAGUUUGUGUCGUUGUCUUUUUUGUGCUGUUU